GACGUAGGGCGCAAGCGUUGUCCGGAAUUAUUGGGCGUAAAGAGCUCGUAGGCGGCUUGUCACGUCGGGUGUGAAAGCCCGGGGCUUAACCCCGGGUCUGCAUUCGAUACGGGCUAGCUAGAGUGUGGUAGGGGAGAUCGGAAUUCCUGGUGUAGCGGUGAAAUGCGCAGAUAUCAGGAGGAACACCGGUGGCGAAGGCGGAUCUCUGGGCCUUACCUGACGCUGAGGAGCGAAAGCAUGGGGAGCAAACAGG
rnacentral:rRNA from 1 species